GGUUAGUGGUACCUUUCCCAGCCACCAUCCGCUACAGCAGAAAUUGCAUAGAGCUCAAAUUAUAUAAGUCUGACUUAAAUGAGUGAGGGAAAGCAACCAUGCUGUCCUGUUACCACAGAUGGGAUAGUUUGGCACCUGUUUGCCUGGAGUUGACUGAUUUCUACAACCCCAGCACUAUUCCAGGUGCCUUGAAAAGCAACAACCUGAGUGCCCACCUUUCUCCUAUCACUGAUGCUUGACUAUGUUAGAGGCUGGGGAUUAAAACAAGAAGCUAGGAAACAGCCUUCUAUUAUCCACUUAGGCCUGAGUGCUCUGCUAUUCUAGUUUUGACUUUACAAUGCUUGAUCCAACACCACGCCAUGCCAGCAAACAAGUCUGCUGUCACCCAUCUCCCUGGAGAACAUCUGUCCAAACUUCCUUGGACACUGCCUUUAAGAAAGCAGACAAGACUCCUAAGAAGACUCCAGCCAAGAGCCCUUCAAAAAGUCUAGCCAAGUCACCUCAAAGAAGCCCUUCCAAAUCAAUAUGAUUGCUAUUUACAAUAUAAAUACCUGGAUGUAGCUAUA